UUAAGCAUAUCAAUAAGCGGAGGAAAAGAAACUAACAAGGAUUCCCCUAGUAACUGCGAGUGAAGCGGGAAAAGCUCAAAUUUGAAAUCUGGCGGUUCUUGAACUGUCCGAGUUGUAAUCUAGAGAAGUGUUACCUGUGCUGGACCGUGUACAAGUCUCCUGGAAUGGAGCAUCACAGAGGGUGAGAAUCCCGUCUUUGACAUGGACUGCCUGUACGAUAUGGUGCGCUCUCGAAGAGUCGAGUUGUUUGGGAAUGCAGCUCAAAAUGGGUGGUAAAUGCCAUCUAAAGCUAAAUAUUGGCGAGAGACCGAUAGCGAACAAGUACCGUGAGGGAAAGAUGAAAAGAACUUUGGAAAGAGAGUUAAACAGUACGUGAAAUUGCUGAAAGGGAAACGCUUGAAGUCAGUCGCGUUGGCUAGAAAUCAGCCUUGCUUUUGCCUGGUGUACUUUCUGGUUGAUGGGUCAGCAUCAAUUUUGACCAUUGGAUAAAGUCGUUGGGAAUGUGGCAUCUUAGGAUGUGUUAUAGCCUUUCGUCGCAUACAGUGGUUGGGAUUGAGGAAUUCAGCACGCCGCAAGGCCGGGUCUCUUUUGAUCACGUUCGUGCUUAGGAUGCUGGCAUAAUGGCUUUAAUCGACCCGUCUUGAAACACGGACCAAGGAGUCUAACAUGCCUGCGAGUGUUUGGGUGGAAAACCCAUGCGCGAAAUGAAAGUGAAAGUUGAGAUCCCCUCUUGGGGGGAGCAUUGACGCCCGGACCAGACCUUCUGUGACGGAUCCGCGGUAGAGCAUGUAUGUUGGGACCCGAAAGAUGGUGAACUAUGCCUGAAUAGGGUGAAGCCAGAGGAAACUCUGGUGGAGGCUCGUAGCGAUUCUGACGUGCAAAUCGAUCGUCAAAUUUGGGUAUAGGGGCGAAAGACUAAUCGAACCAUCUAGUAGCUGGUUCCUGC
rnacentral:rRNA from 1 species